rnacentral:rRNA from 1 species
AACGGGCGAGUAACACGUGGGCAACCUGCCCAAAAGAGGGGGAUAACACUUGGAAACAGGUGCUAAUACCGCAUAACCAUAGUUACCGCAUGGUAACUAUGUAAAAGGUGGCUAUGCUACCGCUUUUGGAUGGGCCCGCGGCGCAUUAGCUAGUUGGUGGGGUAAAGGCUUACCAAGGCAAUGAUGCGUAGCCGAACUGAGAGGUUGAUCGGCCACAUUGGGACUGAGACACGGCCCAAACUCCUACGGGAGGCAGCAGUAGGGAAUCUUCCACAAUGGGCGAAAGCCUGAUGGAGCAACGCCGCGUGGGUGAAGAAGGUCUUCGGAUCGUAAAACCCUGUUGUUAGAGAAGAAAGUGCGUGAGAGUAACUGUUCACGUUUCGACGGUAUCUAACCAGAAAGCCACGGCUAACUACGUGCCAGCAGCCGCGGUAAUACGUAGGUGGCAAGCGUUAUCCGGAUUUAUUGGGCGUAAAGGGAACGCAGGCGGUCUUUUAAGUCUGAUGUGAAAGCCUUCGGCUUAACCGGAGUAGUGCAUUGGAAACUGGGAGACUUGAGUGCAGAAGAGGAGAGUGGAACUCCAUGUG